rnacentral:sRNA from 1 species
UAGUUUACCGAGUCGUGAAGGAUGAAGAACCGUAGAGGUUCGAGGUUCGAGGUUCGAGCAUCGCGCAGCGAUACGACAACGCGCAGCGUUGCCCGCAGGGUGAGGCCAAAGGCCGAAUCAAUCCUGCACGACCCACCA